rnacentral:lncRNA from 1 species
UUUUGCUAGUAGUCACAUUAUUACCUACUGGUCCACACGGGCUACAAGUGAGAAGUAGCUGCUUCCCGCUUCUCCACAGAAGCAGCUGCUCCUUCUUAUCACCCUGACACUGAGUAUCUCUAAGCACUGGGAUUCUGAGCCACAGUAUAGCAUGCUAUCAGCAGACGGCCAAGGAUGGAAGCCUGGGCUCACAGCGUUACAAAGAUGAAGCCUUCCACUACAUUCCUUCGGCAUCCUCCUCCCAGCUCCCAGGGGAUCUGUCUCUAAUGUAGAAUUUAAGCUCUCUAGGAGGUACUACUAAACACUUUUGGGGAAUAGGAAAAAAUAUAGACCUACUAAUUAUGUUUAUUUUUACCUCACCUUAAACUGUUUUUUGUUUUGACUUUACAGAGUAUAUAAUAUAAUUAUAGUAAUACAAGUAUAAUUUAC